UACGGGGGGGAGCAAGCGUUGUUCGGAAUUACUGGGCGUAAAGCGCGUGUAGGCGGUAAGUUAAGUCUGAUGUGAAAAGCCCCCGGGCUCAACCUGGGAAUGGCAUUGGAAACUGGCUUGCUAGAGUGUGGCAGAGGGGGGGUGGAAUUCCGCGUGUAGCAGUGAAAUGCGUAGAGAUGUGGAGGAACACCGAUGGCGAAGGCAGCCCCCCUGGGCUAACACUGACGCUCAGGCACGAAAAGCGUGGGGGAGCAAAACAGG
rnacentral:rRNA from 1 species